rnacentral:rRNA from 1 species
UACGUAGGGAGCGAGCGUUGUCCGGAUUCAUUGGGCGUAAAGAGCUCGUAGGCGGCUUGGCAAGUCGGGUGUGAAAACUCCAGGCUCAACCUGGAGACGCCACCCGAUACUGCCAUGGCUAGAGUCCGGUAGGGGACCACGGAAUUCCUGGUGUAGCGGUGAAAUGCGCAGAUAUCAGGAGGAACACCGGUGGCGAAAGCGGCUCUCGUGGAACGGUACUGACGCUGAGACGCGAAAGCGUGGGGAGCGAACAGG